UAGGGAAUCUUCGGCAAUGGGGGGAACCCUGACCGAGCAACGCCGCGUGAGUGAAGAAGGUUUUCGGAUCGUAAAGCUCUGUUGUUAAGGAAGAACGAGUGUGAGAAUGGAAAGUUCAUGCUGUGACGGUACUUAACCAGAAAGGGACGGCUAACUACGUGCCAGCAGCCGCGGUAAUACGUAGGUCCCGAGCGUUGUCCGGAUUUAUUGGGCGUAAAGCGAGCGCAGGCGGUUAGAAAAGUCUGAAGUGAAAGGCAGUGGCUCAACCAUUGUAGGCUUUGGAAACUGUUUAACUUGAGUGCAGAAGGGGAGAGUGGAAUUCCAUGUGUAGCGGUGAAAUGCGUAGAUAUAUGGAGGAACACCGGUGGCGAAAGCGGCUCUCUGGUCUGUAACUAACGCUGAGGCUCGAAAGCGUGGGGAGCGAACAGG
rnacentral:rRNA from 1 species